UACGUAGGGACCGAGCGUUGUCCGGAAUCAUUGGGCGUAAAGCGCGUGUAGGCGGCCACUUAAGUCCUGCGUGAAAUCUUGCGGCUCAACCGCAAGCGGUGGUGGGAAACUGGGUGGCUAGAGUGCGGGAGAGGAGAGUGGAAUUCCUGGUGUAGCGGUGGAAUGCGCAGAUAUCAGGAAGAACACCCGUGGCGAAGGCGGCUUGCUGGAACGCAACUGACGCUGAGACGCGAAAGCGUGGGGAGCAAACAGG
rnacentral:rRNA from 1 species